rnacentral:rRNA from 1 species
UACGUAGGGUGCGAGCGUUAAUCGGAAUUACUGGGCGUAAAGUGUGCGCAGGCGGCCGCGCAAGUCGAGUGUGAAAUCCCCGAGCUUAACUUGGGAAUUGCGCUCGAAACUACGUGACUGGAGUGUGGCAGAGGAAGGUGGAAUUCCACGUGUAGCGGUGAAAUGCGUAGAGAUGUGGAGGAACACCGAUGGCGAAGGCAGCCUUCUGGGCCAACACUGACGCUCAGGCACGAAAGCGUGGGGAGCAAACAGG